GGUCGAACCUUUAUUUUUUAAUGGCGAAGGACCUUGGCCUUGAAGGGUGUUAUUUCGAAAUUAUUGAAAUAACAGCCCGUCGUCGUUCGAUCGAUCGUUGUCGAACAUUUCUUUUUUUAUGGCGAAGGUCCUUCGCCUUGAAGGGUGUUAUUUCGAACUUAUCAAAAUAACAGCCCGUCGUCGUUCGAUCAAGGUCAAACCUUUAUUUUUUGAUAGCGAAGGCCCUUGGCCUUGAAGGGUGUUAUAUCAAACUUAUCAAAAUAACAGCCCGUCUUCGUUCGAUCGAGGUCGAACCUUUCUUUUUUGAUGGCGAAGACCCUUGGCCUUGAAGGGUGUUAUUUCGAACUUAUCGAAAUAACAG
rnacentral:lncRNA from 1 species